rnacentral:rRNA from 1 species
GAUGAACGCUGUCUACAUGCUUAACACAUGCAAGUCGAGGGGAAACGCCCUGGAAGCUUGCUUCCCCGGGCGUCGACCGGCACACGGGUGAGUAACGCGUAUCCCCCCUGCCUCUGACUGAGGGAUAACCCGUCGACAAUCGGCCUAAUCCCUCAUCGCAUCGUCUGCGGGCAUCCAACGACGAUUAAAGAUUUUAUCGGUCAUGGAUGGGGAUGCGUCUGAUUAGCUUGUUGUCGGGGUAACGGCACACCAAGGCUACGAUCAGUAGUGGUUCUGAGAGGAAGGUCCCCCACAGUGGAACUGAGACACGGUCAAAACUCCUACGGGAGGCAGAAGUGAGGAAUAUUGGUGAAGGGGAGGGAGCCUGAACCAGCCAAGUAGCGUGCAGGAGGACGGCCCUAUGGGUUGUAAACUGCUUUUAUGCGGGGAUAAAGUGAGGGACGUGUCCUUGAUUGCAGGUACCGCAUGAAUAAGGACCGGCUAAUUCCGUG